AGUGUCCUUCGGGGUCGGGUGAAAUUCCCAACCGGCGGUGUUGUAUAUUUUUAUACUAAGCCCGUGAGCUUCAUAUAGAUUUUUUAUAUGUUGCUGAUCUAGUUAGAAUCUAGAGCCGACAGUAUAGUCUGGAUGGGAGAAGGAUGGA
rnacentral:ncRNA from 2 species